rnacentral:rRNA from 1 species
GGUGAGUAACACGUGGAUAACCUACCUAUAAGACUGGGAUAACUUCGGGAAACCGGAGCUAAUACCGGAUGAUAUUUUGAACCGCAUGGUUCAAAAGUGAAAGACGGUCUUGCUGUCACUUAUAGAUGGAUCCGCGCUGCAUUAGCUAGUUGGUAAGGUAACGGCUUACCAAGGCAACGAUGCAUAGCCGACCUGAGAGGGUGAUCGGCCACACUGGAACUGAGACACGGUCCAG